AUGCAGAAUUCAGUGAAUCAUCGAAUCUUUGAACGCACCUUGCACCCUUUGGUAUCCCCAAAGGGCUAUGCCUCGUUUUGAGUGUCAUU
rnacentral:rRNA from 1 species